rnacentral:misc_RNA from 1 species
UCCUGGUUAACCCAGGCAGUCUCAUUAGAGUCCCCAGCUUCACCUGUUGGCAACUAAUGAUAAGGGUUGCGCUCGUUGCGGGACUUAACCCAACACCUCACGGCACGAGCUGACGACAGCCAUGCAGCACCUAUCUAGCUGUCCCGAAGGAAAUAUGCAUCUCUGCAUACGGCAACUAGUAGUUGAGCCUGGGUAAGGUUCUUCGCGUUGCAUCGAAUUAAACCACAUGCUCCACUGCUUGUGCGGGUCCCCGUCAAUUCUUUUGAGUUUCAGCCUUGCGACUGUACUCCCCAGGCGGUAUACUUAACGCGUUAGCUACGGCACAACUGGGGUUGAGUCCAGUUACACCAAGUAUACAUCGUUUACGGCAAGGACUAC